GAUGAACGCUGGCGGCGUGCCUAAUACAUGCAAGUCGAGCGAAAGGACGCGAAGCUUGCUUCUCUGAUGUUAGCGGCGGACGGGUGUGUAACACGUGGAUAACCUCCCUAUCAGUCUGGGAUAAUUUCGGGAAACCGGAGCUAAUCCCGGAUAAUAUUUUGAUCCGCAUGGUUCAAAAGUGAAAGUCGGUCUUUCUGUAAGUACUAGCUGGUUCCGGGCUGCAUUAGCUAGUUGGUAAGGUAACGGCUUAUCAAGGCUACUAUGCAUAGCCGACGUGAUGGGGUGAUCGGCGACACGGGAAGGGGACCGGGGUCCAUGCGACUACGAGAGGCACCAGAAGGGAAUCUGACGCAGUGGUCGAAAGCCUGGCGGAGCAGCGCCGCGUGAGAUAUGGAGGUCUUCGGAGCGUAAAACUCUGUUAUUAGGUAAGAACAUAUGUGUAAGUAACUGUGCACAGCUUGACGGUAACUAAUCAGAAAGCCACGGCUAACUACGUG
rnacentral:rRNA from 1 species